UUUUAGGAGAUAUUUCAUACACAUAACCACCAACAUGUAUCAAGUAUUAUUGCACCAAAAUAACAUAAAAAAUUCGAAAUUAACAUGAAGGCUUCAACAAGACAAAAAUCGGACAGCAUACACUUUCCUUCCUCUAGCUUUCUUUCCAACUUUUUCAACUCAAACUAUACCAUAUCUCAUCAAAGCAAGUAACAAACAAGCAAAUAAACACACAAAAUUCUCAAGGCCUCUACCUAUCAAGCCACCUCAAGUCCACUACCUAGUGUCAAGGUUCAUAGAACCCAUCAACAACCCAACUUAACUAGUUACAACUAACUAAAAACUAAUCAUAAG
rnacentral:lncRNA from 1 species